rnacentral:lncRNA from 1 species
CAACUCGGGGACCAGUUAAAAUUACAGUUUUGUUUGGGAUAAACUUUAAGUGCCUGCUUUCCUUCAGUGCCCCCAUUUAAAGUUUUCUUGACAUGAAGAUCCUAGAGGCAUUUUCUUCAGAACUGAACCAGGGGUAAUCAGUCUCUGUAGGGGAUCACAGCAAACUGCUUCAAGAAAAGCUUCAGGAGUCGCCUGUGUCUUCCCACAACACCUGCUGUCACAGGACUGAUAUUUCUUAACAAGCCCUGCCUCUCCACCCCUGCCUCCAAGACCAGGACUCCGCCCCAUCAGCUGGCCCCUGUGACAUGCUCCCCCAACCCCAAUUAAUUCUUCCUACUGCACUCAAAAAGACAUCGCCACAAGGAAAGGAGACAUUUAUAUAAUUAUUUUUCCUGUACUGUUGGUGCGAAGCCAGUUACCAGGCACUGUGCAGGUAACCCAUGAAUAUCUCUUGAAUUUGCUGAAUCAUAAACUGUCAUCAAAGAGACACAAACCAACUUAGCUCAGCCCACUGAUGGUCUCGAUUGAGUGAUCCUAUAAAAAUAUCAUUAUUUCCUCACUUUUGAGUUGUCCACAUGAGAAAAUGUGGUUAGAGGAAAGCCUUUUUAUUCAACAUGAUCAGGAUGGAUAGCUGGUUGUUUAAGCAAAUAAAAUCUGUUAAUGUAAGAACUCACAAAUACAAAAAUGUAUUUCUCCCUUAUUCAUUUAACCUAACGUAUAUAAAUAUAUGUCCAUUUACCAAUCUUUUUAGGUAGGGC